GCUUAAGGUGAUACUGCCACAGCUCACUAUAAUGGUGCUUAAGGUGAUACUGCCACAGCUCACUAUAAUGGUGCUUAAGGUGAUACUGCCACAGCUCACUAUAAUGGUGCUUAAGGUGAUACUGCCACAGCUAGCUAUAAUGGUGCUUAAGGUGAUACUGCCACAGCUCACUAUAAUGGUGCUUAAAGUGAUACUGCCACAGCUCACUAUAAUGGUGCUUAAGGUUAUACUGCCACAGCUAGCUAUAAUGGUGCUUAAAGUGAUACUGCCACAGCUCACUGUAAUGGUGCUUAAAGUGAUACUGCAAAAUUUUGCAA
ensembl:lncRNA